ensembl:lncRNA
UGCCCCUACACCUGUGGAUUUACCUGCUCUUAUUUACAGUUGUUAGCUCCCUGCGGGGAGACGCUCCAUCUCAGUGGAGCCGGGUUUGCAUAUACCUCCUUCUUUGUCUCUGCUGUGGUUGUAUAACAUGACGCGCUUGUCUCUGCGAUGUUCAGUUUGCAAAGGGUGCUCGUGAAGAUUUGCUCCAUACAUUGCCUGUCAAUCAAUGAAGUGAAGAGCAGAAACCUUGAAGAGGCGUUUAUGGCCGGCAUGUUGCAUCACAAGCGGGAGCCAUUAACGGACAAACUGCGCGAGAGAGGAUGCAUUUGAGUGGCAGUGUUGACCACAGAUUGACGGAGGUUUCCCCUGUCAGCAGCCUUAUGAUGACAUGGAUAUUUUGUCUUACAUUUGAAAUAUUCGAUUAAACAGAAAGC